AUACGGAGGGUGCAAGCGUUGUUCGGAAUUAUUGGGCGUAAAGAGCAUGUAGGCGGUUCGUUAAGUCUGAUGUGAAAGCCCGGGGCUCAACCCCGGAAGUGCAUUGGAUACUGGCGAACUUGAGUACGGGAGAGGAAAGUGGAAUUUCGAGUGUAGGGGUGAAAUCCGUAGAUAUUCGAAGGAACACCAGUGGCGAAGGCGGCUUUCUGGACCGAUACUGACGCUGAGAUGCGAAAGCGUGGGGAGCAGACAGGAUUAGAAACCCCGGUAGUCC
rnacentral:rRNA from 1 species